GACAGAGGGUGCAAGCGUUGUUCGGAAUCACUGGGCGUAAAGUGCGUCUAGGCGGAAAGGUUAGUCCGAUGUGAAAGCCCGGGGCUCAACCCCGGAAGUGCAUCGGAAACUGCUUUUCUUGAGUUUCGGAGAGGGUGGUGGAAUUCCCAGUGUAGAGGUGAAAUUCGUAGAUAUUGGGAGGAACACCGGUGGCGAAGGCGACCACCUGGACGAUGACUGACGCUGAAGCGCGAAAGCGUGGGGAGCAAACAGG
rnacentral:rRNA from 1 species